AUUGAACGCUGGCGGUAUGCUUAACACAUGCAAGUCGAACGACAGCAUGGUCUAGCUUGCUAGACUGAUGGCGAGUGGCGGACGGGUGAGUAACGCGUAGGAAUAUGCCUUGAAGAGUGGGACAACUUGGGGAAACUCAAGCUAAUACCGCAUGUACUCGAGAGAGUAAAGCUGGGGACCUUUAGGCCUGGCGCUUUAAGAUUAGCCUGCGUCCGAUUAGCUAGUUGGUAGGGUAAAGGCCUACCAAGGCGACGAUCGGUAGCUGGUCUGAGAGGAUGAUCGGCCACACUGGAACUGAGAGACGGUCCAGAAUCCUACGGGAGGCAGCAGUGGGGAAUAUUGGACAAUGGGGGGAACCCUGAUCCAGCAAUGCCGCGUGUGUGAAGAAGGCCUGAGGGUUGUAAAGCACUUUCAGUGGGGAGGAGGUUUGGAAGGUUAAGAGCUAUUCAAAUGGACGUUACCCACAGAAGAAGCACCGGCUAACUCCGUGCCAGCCGCCGCCGUAA
rnacentral:rRNA from 1 species